AAACCAUGGUGGGGGAUAGUAUUAAUAGCUCUUUAAAUCUAUCCCUUGCGCCAUACACGGAUUCAUUGUCUUUCUGAGCAAAGCUAGUGAUCUGAUUUCUCAAUUG